GGUAGUCCACGCCCUAAACGAUGUCGACUGGUUGUUGGGGGUUUGACACUCUCAGUAACGAAGCUAACGCGUGAAGUCGACCGUCUGGGGAGUACGGCCGCAAGGUUAAAACUCAAAGGAAUUGACGGGGACCCGCACAAGCGGUGGAUUAUGUGGAUUAAUUCGAUGCAACGCGAAAAACCUUACCUACCCUUGACAUGUCCGAGAGCCCGUAGAGAUAUGGGUGUGCCUGAAAGGGAUCGGAACACAGGUGCUGCAUGGCUGUCGUCAGCUCGUGUCGUGAGAUGUUGGGUUAAG
rnacentral:rRNA from 1 species